GAACAGAUUGUAGUACUUAGGAGCAGGUGUGCUUCUGUGUGUAGAGUUGGUGUUUGCAGCAUAUUUUUUGCAUUUUAAUACAGGGAUGUGUUUGGAUGUGAUGUUUGCAUUUGCGUGUAGAGGUAUGUUUGGAUGUAGUGUUGGAUUUUUAAAUGAGGAUGUACAUUUGUGUGUAGUAUUGGUGUUUGAGUGUAUGUAUAUAAUUUUAGAGUUAAAGUUCAG